UUCAGAUAUGAAAAGUUUUUUUUGCAUCUAUUAGUUGGAGGGGGCUGUGCUCCGUCACAGGCUGGGAGACUGUUGAGCGGGGGAGGUUGUUUUCCUGUCUUUCUCAUUCAGUACAGAAUAACCCAGGUUCAUUUCCUCCCAGUAGCAAGGUCACAGUAAAGGAGAUUUAUAGUCUCAUCUGAAUGAAUGUCCAUAAAUUUGGAGAGGGCAAUGUAUUUCCAAAAAAUAACAAUUAUCUUGUAAGGAUAUAAUUUAUUGCCGGGGAUGAAGAUAACUUUUCUAAAGGUGUCCAAGUGUUCUUAAAGUGUAUCUAAAGCCAAUCUUCCGGCCUUACCUCUACAAUGAAUCCUGUCCUGUUGUGUGUCCUGAGGAAGCGGAAAGCGAAACUCGUUGACUCACAAGGACCCAUUCAAUUGCUCAUUUAUCUGGAACACGAUAACAGUAAUUUGAUGUAUCAUUACUGCUACUACCAGAUGUGUUUGUGCACAUGUUUUUAAUAAUGCACAUGUCAUACGUACCUUUGUUUUAACAUUGUUUAUGUACAAAUAAAAUUGUAGAUUUUUAUAUA